rnacentral:rRNA from 1 species
UACGUAGGGUGCGAGCGUUUGUCCGGAAUUAUUGGGCGUAAAGAGCUUGUAGGCGGUUUGUCGCGUCUGCCGUGAAAUUUCGAGGCUCAACCUCGAACUUGCGGUGGGUACGGGCAGACUAGAGUGUGGUAGGGGAGACUGGAAUUCCUGGUGUAGCGGUGAAAUGCGCAGAUAUCAGGAGGAACACCGAUGGCGAAGGCAGGUCUCUGGGCCACUACUGACGCUGAGAAGCGAAAGCAUGGGGAGCGAACAGG